GUCAGAAUGGCCGAGCGGUCCAAGGCGCCAGACUCAAGGUUGUGCACCUUCUCCAAAACAGAGAGAUUUCUGGUCUCCGAAUGGAGGUGUGGGUUCAAAUCCCACUUCUGACA
rnacentral:tRNA from 1 species